rnacentral:rRNA from 1 species
AUGUUUUCUUGUCCAAUCCCUUUAAUAUGUUAUGGUUUUCUAUAUUAUCUGCAAUGUCAUACAUUCAUAAGUAGUGCUCAUUUGUUAAUAGUUGUUGUUAAAUCUGUAUUUGCAGCACACGAAGGAGGUGGGGUUGGCCAAGUUGAAGAACCAGAAGGGGACGAACCAACGGAAUACCCUCCACGAGGUCUCCGGAAUGACUCAGGUGGCCAUGUGAGAAAGUACAAAUUGGAAUCUCUACUUCAUAUGCCAAAGAAACUUAAAAUCCCAAUGAAUCUGCUUGAAUGGAUAGAUCAUCAUAUGUUUGGAAGUAAAGAGCCCUGUUUCAAGCAUAAGAAUAAAAUUAUCAAGAUUACUAAAGAUAUGGUGAACAAAAUCUUCGAUUUCCCUGGUGGCACCGAGCCUUUUGUAUUCAGUAGCUACGAUCCCCAAGUGAAGGCAGAGGUUACAGAGUUAAGGAACAAGUAUGUUGAUCAUCGGAACAAAAUGCCGAUCAACAAAAUAGAGGAGGUGAUGCUUAGUGACGAGACAGAAGAUGGAUUUAUUAGAAGCUUCACAUUUUAUUUCCUAUCAUCUAUUCUGUGCCCUGCAUCAUACUGCUUUGGUAACAUGAAGUUCUUGUACUCUCUAAGAGAUGUUUCUGCUAUCCCUUCACUUGACUUUGGGCAAUUGGCACUGGAUUUCAUGCGUGAGGAGUCAGAGCGUCAUUUUGAAAUGAUCAUGAACAGACCAAGUGUUGAGGAAAUGAACAAGCCUUCAUAUAUUGGGGGAUGUCUUCCUAUUUGGGGAGUAAGUUCAAUCUUCAGUUCCACUAUUUUUAUCUCUCCACUUUUUAUUUUACUGACCUGUUUAUUUUUAAGUGGCAGAUCAUUUAUCUGGAUUUUGUUGUUUUUGAUGUUCUUGAGAAUCAUCAGUCAACUGUGGAUUAUUCUCUUCAACGGAUAUCUCAUGUUAAGACUGUAG